AGUGGCGGACGGGUGAGUAACGCGUAGGAACGUGUCCAGAGGUGGGGGACAACCCCGGGAAACUGGGGCUAAUACCGCAUAUGUCCUGAGGGACAAAGCCGUGAGGCGCCUUUGGAGCGGCCUGCGUCCGAUUAGGUUGUUGGUGGGGUAAUGGCCUACCAAGCCUGCGAUCGGUAGCUGGUCUGAGAGGAUGAUCAGCCACACUGAGACUGAGACACGGCCCAGACUCCUACGGGAGGCAGCAGUGGGGAAUAUUGGACAAUGGGCGCAAGCCUGAUCCAGCAAUGCCGCGUGGGUGAAGAAGGUCUUCGGAUCGUAAAGCCCUUUCGACAGGGACGAUGAUGACGGUACCUGUAGAAGAAGCCCCGGCUAACUUCGUGCCAGCAGCCGCGGUAAUACGAAGGGGGCUAGCGUUACUCGGAAUUACUGGGCGUAAAGGGCGCGUAGGCGGCUUGGUCAGUCAGGCGUGAAAUUCCUGGGCUUAACCUGGGGACUGCGCUUGAUACGGCCGGGCUUGAGGCCGAGAGAGGGUGGUGGAAUUCCCAGUGUAGAGGUGAAAUUCGUAGAUAUUGGGAAGAACACCGGUGGCGAAGGCGACCACCUGGCUCGGUACUGACGCUGAGGCGCGACAGCGUGGGGAGCAAACAGGAUUAGAUACCCUGGUAGUCCACGCCGUAAACGAUGUGUGCUGGAUGUUG
rnacentral:rRNA from 1 species